UACGUAGGGGGCAAGCGUUAUCCGGAUUUACUGGGUGUAAAGGGAGCGCAGACGGUAAAGCAAGUCUGGAGUGAAAACCCGGGGCUCAACCCCGGGCAUGCUCUGGAAACUGUUAAACUGGAGUGCAGGAGAGGUAAGCGGAAUUCCUGGUGUAGCGGUGAAAUGCGUAGAUAUCAGGAGGAACACCAGUGGCGAAGGCGGCUUACUGGACUGUAACUGACGUUGAGGCUCGAAAGCGUGGGGAGCAAACAGG
rnacentral:rRNA from 1 species